AUAACCCCUGAUAAAUUUUCUAGAGACGGCUACCACAUCCAAGAAAGGCAGCAGGCGCGUAAAUAC
rnacentral:rRNA from 15 species